UACAGAGGUCCCGAGCGUUUGUUCGGAUUCAUUGGGCGUAAAGGGUGCGUAGGUGGCAGGGUAAGUCGGAUGUGAAAUCCCGGGGCUCAACCUCGGAACUGCAUUCGAUACUGCUUUGCUGGAGUACUGGAGAGGAGAUUGGAAUUUACGGUGUAGCAGUGAAAUGCGUAGAUAUCGUAAGGAAGACCAGUGGCGAAGGCGGAUCUCUGGACAGUUACUGACACUGAGGCACGAAGGCCAGGGGAGCAAACGGGG
rnacentral:rRNA from 1 species